GACGAGCUCUCCAGACGUUAUUCGGUAUCACUGGGCUUAAAGAGUUCGUAGGCGGUCUGGUAGGUGAGGUGUGAAAUCCCCCGGCUCAACCGGGGAACUGCGCUUCAAACCACCGGACUUGAGGGAGACAGAGGUGGGCGGAACAGAUGGUGGAGCGGUGAAAUGCGUUGAUAUCAUCUGGAACACCGGUGGCGAAAGCGGCCCACUGGGUCUUUUCUGACGCUGAGGAACGAAAGCGUGGGGAGCAAACAGG
rnacentral:rRNA from 1 species